UACGGAGGGUGCGAGCGUUAAUCGGAAUUACCGGGCGUAAAGCGCGCGGAGGCGGCUAAGUCAGCCGGUUGUGAAAGCCCCGGGCUCAACCUGGGAAUGGCAUCCGGAACUGUUUAGCAAGAGUGCAGAAGAGGAGGGUAGAAUUCCCGGUGUAGCGGUGAAAUGCGUAGAGAUCGGGAGGAAUACCAGUUGCGAAGGCGGCCUUCUGGUCUGACACUGACGCUGAGGUGCGAAAGCGUGGGUAGCAAACAGG
rnacentral:misc_RNA from 1 species